rnacentral:rRNA from 1 species
GGUUGAUCCUGCCAGUAGUCAUAUGCUUGUCUCAAAGAUUAAGCCAUGCAUGUCUAAGUAUAAGCAUUAUACAGUGAAACUGCGAAUGGCUCAUUAAAUCAGUUAUCGUUUAUUUGAUAGUACCUUGCUAAUUGGCAUACGCCUGGCAAUUCUAGAGCUAAUACAUGCGUCCAAGCCCGACCUCUGGAAGGGCUGUAUUUAUUAGAUAAAAAAUCAACAUCCGUGAUGAUUCAUAAUAACUUGUCGAAUCGCAGGGCCUCGAGCCGGCGAUGGUUCAUUCAAAUUUCUGCC